rnacentral:rRNA from 1 species
GACGAACGCUGGCGGCGUGCUUAACACAUGCAAGUCGAACGGAAAGGCCCUGCUUUUGUGGGGUGCUCGAGUGGCGAACGGGUGAGUAACACGUGAGUAACCUGCCCUUGACUUUGGGAUAACUUCAGGAAACUGGGGCUAAUACCGGAUAGGAGCUCCUGCUGCAUGGUGGGGGUUGGAAAGUUUCGGCGGUUGGGGAUGGACUCGCGGCUUAUCAGCUUGUUGGUGGGGUAGUGGCUUACCAAGGCUUUGACGGGUAGCCGGCCUGAGAGGGUGACCGGCCACAUUGGGACUGAGAUACGGCCCAGACUCCUACGGGAGGCAGCAGUGGGGAAUAUUGCACAAUGGGCGGAAGCCUGAUGCAGCAACGCCGCGUGCGGGAUGACGGCCUUCGGGUUGUAAACCGCUUUCGCCUGUGACGAAGCGUGAGUGACGGUAAUGGGUAAAGAAGCACCGGCUAACUACGUGCCAGCAGCCGCGGUGAUACGUAGGGUGCGAGCGUUGUCCGGAUUUAUUGGGCGUAAAGGGCUCGUAGGUGGUUGAUCGCGUCGGAAGUGUAAUCUUGGGGCUUAACCCUGAGCGUGCUUUCGAUACGGGUUGACUUGAGGAAGGUAGGGGAGAAUGGAAUUCCUGGUGGAGCGGUGGAAUGCGCAGAUAUCAGGAGGAACACCAGUGGCGAAGGCGGUUCUCUGGGCCUUUCCUGACGCUGAGGAGCGAAAGCGUGGGGAGCGAACAGGCUUAGAUACCCUGGUAGUCCACGCUGUAAACGGUGGGUACUAGGUGUGGGGUCCAUUCCACGGGUUCCGUGCCGUAGCUAACGCUUUAAGUACCCCGCCUGGGGAGUACGGCCGCAAGGCUAAAACUCAAAGGAAUUGAUGGGGCCCCGCACAAGCGGCGGAGCAUGCGGAUUAAUUCGAUGCAACGCGUAGAACCUUACCUGGGUUUGACAUGGAUCGGGAGUGCUCAGAGAUGGGUGUGCCUCUUUUGGGGUCGGUUCACAGGUGGUGCAUGGCUGUCGUCAGCUCGUGUCGUGAGAUGUUGGGUUAAGUUCCGCAACGAGCGCAACCCUUGUUCACUGUUGCCAGCACGUUAUGGUGGGGACUCAGUGGAGACCGCCGGGGUCAACUCGGAGGAAGGUGGGGAUGACGUCAAGUCAUCAUGCCCCUUAUGUCCAGGGCUUCACGCAUGCUACAAUGGCUGGUACAGAGAGUGGCGAGCCUGUGAGGGUGAGCGAAUCUCGGAAAGCCGGUCUCAGUUCGGAUUGGGGUCUGCAACUCGACCUCAUGAAGUCGGAGUCGCUAGUAAUCGCAGAUCAGCAACGCUGCGGUGAAUACGUUCCCGGG